rnacentral:rRNA from 1 species
AGCAGUAGCCGGGUAAUACGUAGGGUGCAAGCGUUAAUCGGAAUUACUGGGCGUAAAGCGUGCGCAGGCGGUUCGUUAAGACAGAUGUGAAAUCCCCGGGCUUAACCUGGGAACUGCAUUUGUGACUGGCGGGCUAGAGUAUGGCAGAGGGGGGUAGAAUUCCACGUGUAGCAGUGAAAUGCGUAGAGAUGUGGAGGAAUACCGAUGGCGAAGGCAGCCCCCUGGGCCAAUACUGACGCUCAUGCACGAAAGCGUGGGGAGCAAACAGGAUUAGAUACCCGAGUAGUCCCUGUCUCUUAUACC